GCAAUGUUUGAGGCGCUGGGAUCGAGAUUUUAUUUUAAUGCAUUGAGUCAAGUCCGCCAGACACUGCUGAGCUCACCACUAGGAGCACGGAUACUUAAAGAAACAACAACAGAUAAAAUCAGACAGUCGUUCCUUCCUAUCCUGCUGACUGGUCUGAUAUUAUCAUGGUGAGACGGCCCACUGUCCGGAACCAGGUGAGACGGCCCACUGUCCGGAACCAGGUGAGUCUGCCUGCGACCCGGAACCGGGUGAGUUUGCCUGUGAUCCGGAACCGAGUGAGUCUGCCUGUGAUCCGGAACAGAAUGAGGGUGAAAUUAACUGUGAACUGUGUGAGUCUGUCUACAGCUUGGAACCGAAUGAGUCUGCCUACGACCCGGAACUGAGUCUAGUUAACUAUGUGUAUGACACCACCUACUGGUGCUGAGUACUCGCUGACACUACCUACAGCAGAUUACGAAGCAGCCUGUGUUUCCUGUGCCCAGAGGGGGAGCCAGAUUCCUUUCAUGAGCAUCUGUGGAGCUGCAUCUGCACUGCCAAAGGAGAAUGCACAACAUUCCCAGAAUACGAACACAUACCGCUGUAGAUUAGACUAAAG
rnacentral:lncRNA from 1 species